UAUCUACAAAGACAGGGCAGCCUGGACUGAACCCUUGGCUUGGUUUAGGGCAAUCACAGGGACAGUGUCCUCUCCAUCUACUGAGCCAAGAGCAGCACAGGACACCACCAAGAAUCGUCCCCCUCACAGCUGUGACAACAGAGGCUGUAAGGACCCUCUGGAAAACCGGGCAAGCCACAUAAGGACAUACGUCCUGGACCAUCAGAAUCCUGGGGACAAGCCUUCAGAAGCUGAGGACAGGGAACACCUGGGGUCCUCUCCUGAGGGUCCUGCCUACCUUCUAGCCUCAGGACUGACUGUGGAUGUGACAGUGUCCUCAUCAUCUCAGAGCCUUGCUGGGCCCUGAAGCCACGCCCGGAUGUGGGGAGACCACGAGUGCCAGGAAAGGCCAGCACCAUGCCUGAGGCCACUGCCAACCUCUAGUCAAGGGGGCUGGCAGAGCUGAAUCUGACUUCAAGCGGGGGACACUGCCAGAGCCCUGCUGCUGUAAGGCUGGGGAGCAGUGAGGACGACGGAGACCCUCUUCCCUCCAUGGGUUAAGGACCACCAAGGCUCUCCCCAAGCCUCUUCGUCCUGUAUCCCAAGGGUACUGGCUUGGAAGCCUUUCCAACAACAGGCAGUGGUCACACCACGUCACUAAGCCAGGAGGCCACUAGGACCUUCCUCUCACUUGGCCCUUCUGAAUCAACAGCCCAAGCCAAUCUCCAGUGGUAAAAGUGCUAGCUUCAA